AUUGAACGCUGGCGGCAGGCCUAACACAUGCAAGUCGAACGGUAACAGGAAGAAGCUUGCUUCUUUGCUGACGAGUGGCGGACGGGUGAGUAAUGUCUGGGAAACUGCCUGAUGGAGGGGGAUAACUACUGGAAACGGUAGCUAAUACCGCAUAACGUCGCAAGACCAAAGAGGGGGACCUUCGGGCCUCUUGCCAUCGGAUGUGCCCAGAUGGGAUUAGCUAGUAGGUGGGGUAACGGCUCACCUAGGCGACGAUCCCUAGCUGGUCUGAGAGGAUGACCAGCCACACUGGAACUGAGACACGGUCCAGACUCCUACGGGAGGCAGCAGUGGGGAAUAUUGCACAAUGGGCGCAAGCCUGAUGCAGCCAUGCCGCGUGUAUGAAGAAGGCCUCGGGUUGU
rnacentral:rRNA from 1 species